rnacentral:lncRNA from 1 species
AUAAGGAUUCAAAACCCUAAUUCUGAAUUUUGAACAAGGAAUGAGAAUAAUAAUAUAAUAUUAAUUAUAUUUCAGUGCUAUAAACAUAUAUUGUAUAUAUAUAUAUACAGAUAAUGGUUGAUCAAUUAUAGUGCAAUAUGAGAAAACCUAGUAUUACUUUGGUAAACCCUAAUUCGGAAGUCAAAUAGGACUUUAAGAUUUGCUAAGAUGUUGUUUUAUGCGAUUAAUAUCAAGUAUAGUAGAUUUUAUUGCUAAUUAGAGAAUCCUAAUUAGUAAUUAGAAACCCUAAUGACUAGAAACCCUAAUUGGUAAUUAGGAACCCUAAUUGCUAAGUUAUUAACCUUAAUUAUUAAUUUAGCAAGCUUAAUGUUAAUUAGUAAAUUCUUAAACCUAAUUUGUAAGUCUAAGUAAUUAGAAAACCUAAACUAAUUAAGGAAUCCUAAAUUUUAAUUUUUAGAAACUAAAUUUCCAUUUUAACCCUAAUUAGAAAGUCUAGAAAAAAAUCAAAAUUUUAAGACCUUAGGGUUAAACCUUAAGGGUCAAACCUUAAGGGUUAGGCAAGAUUAUAUUUUUGCCAUUAAAAUCACAAGCCAAUUAACCAAAUUGCCCCUCUUGCAUUAUUGUUAGCUAACUUGUCAAACUUGUCAAAACUUUAGUUGUUUACCAACCCUUGACUUUCCCUUGUGCUAAUAACUCCAGCAAAAUCAGCAAUAAACAUCAGCCAACUUCAUUACAUGUUAUAUAUAGACCAAAAGAGAAAAAGUGAUGUUCAAGCCUCAUUUGCUCAACUACUCCUAACUAAGCCAUUCUCUCUCUAAACCCACAAAAUACAAUAGCAUUUCAGUCCCCAAAUCAAGUCUCUACCAUCUUCAUAUCAGAUCAGGAGUCUAGAAUCAAGAUUUGUCCAAGAAAGGUAUAAACCUAACCCAAGAAAUCUGAUCUCUAAAGAUAUGUUAAAAGUUAUGUUUGAAGGUUUAAACAUGUUGUAUGUAGUGUAUAUAGUUGAUCUGGGUUGAUAUUUGUUAGAUCCAUAACAUCUAUAGGCUUGAAUUUGAUGUUUUUCAAAAUCUGGAAAAACUAGAAACUAUGGUCUGACAACCAACUGUCAAACCACAUAGAUCUUUGUCUGUGUAUAGUUUUUGUGUUUUGAAAGUUUGUACUUUUAGUAUGACAUGUGGUCUUUAAUUUGGAACUCAAAUCAGGGUCAUAUCUAGCUUAGAUUUCAAGUUAUUGUUGGUCAAAGUCGCUUGACCGACCAUGACCAAGCGAAUCUGGGAAACCCAGAUCGUGCCCAUAAACGUCUAACAAGAUGUUCUUGGGUUCGGAUCUGACACUGGUUUGAUGUUUUGGUCAUGUUGUUGUAUCUAGAUUCUUGUAUGGUAUAUGGACUACAGAUUUGUGUCUUUAAAUCACAUAAAUAACAUAUAGAUUUGAUGUAGUAAAUGGUCAAACUAGCUUACUCGAACACAGUUUCUGUUUUCUGGGUAACCCAGAAAACUCAAGAACACUCCUUCUGACAAGGUUUGACCGUAUGAUAUAUAGUGAUUCUGAUGUAUUUAAGCCAACCUGAUGAAUGAUAUAUGUACUCUGUCAUGUAGACUACAAGCUUGAACCGUUAGAACACCAUAACAUCACACAAAACUCAAUUUAAUUAAGGUACAAAGUAGCUAUCAAGCACUGCCUGGGUUUUUGGGUAACCUAGAAAAUCCAGGAAGGACCUGACAGCCACUUUGGACCUGCUGAUCUUGCUUGUAUGUUGUAGAUUGACCCUGUUAGUUGAUUAUUCAUGUAGUAUUACAUCAAUACUACAUGAUCAUUACAAAAGCAUGCCCAGAAACAUCUUGUGUAGUGAUUAACGAUCGGUCAAAGUAGGCACCAAGAAACUGAGUUUGAAUGUUCUUGAGCCUCAAGAACACCAACUGCGACAGAAAUCGUCGCUAAAGCCUUUAGCGACGGAUUUAAUUAUUUUAGUUUUCUAAUUUUUGAAAAAUCGGUUAAAAAUAAAAAUAAUUUUUG